rnacentral:rRNA from 1 species
UACGUAGGGUGCAAGCGUUGUCCGGAAUUAUUGGGCGUAAAGAGCUCGUAGGCGGUUUGUCGCGUCCGCUGUGAAAAUCCAGGGCUUAACCCUGGACCUGCAGUGGGUACGGGCAGACUAGAGUGCGGUAGGGGAGAUCGGAAUUCCUGGUGUAGCGGUGAAAUGCGCAGAGAUCCGGAGGAACACCGACGGCGUAGGCAGCGCCCUGGCCGUUUCCUGACGCUGAUGCACGAAAGCUGGGGGAGCAAACAGG